ACCCAGCACAUCCAUGAUUGAGAGAGUCGCACUAAGGAUCAGGUCAUGCUGCUAAUUGACAUUGAGCUAGCCUACAUGAACACCAAUCAUGAGGAUUUCAUCGGUUUUGCAAACGCCCAGCAGAGAAGCAGUCAGAUGAAUAAGAAGAAGGCUGCUGGCAACCAGGUAAGCA